rnacentral:rRNA from 1 species
AUUGAACGCUAGCGGCAUGCCUUACACAUGCAAGUCGAACGAGUGGCGGACGGGUGAGUAAUAUAUCGGAACGUGCCCGAUAGGGGGGGAUAACUACUGGAAACAGGGCUAAUACCGCAUACUAUUGGAGCUGCCCAUAUCGGAUUAGCUAGUAGGUGGGGUAAAGGCUCACCUAGGCGACGAUCCGUAGCUGGUCUGAGAGGACGACCAGCCACACUGGGACUGAGACACGGCCCAGAAUCCUACGGGAGGCAGCAGUGGGGAAUAUUGCACAAUGGGGGAAAGCCUGAUGCAGCCAUGCCGCGUGUAUGAUGAAGGCCUUCGGGUUGUAAAGUACUUUUGGCAGGGAAGCGGUACUUGCAGAAUAAGCACCGGCUAACUCCGUGCCAGCAGCCGCGGUAAUAC